CGCAAUGGGCGAAAGCCUGACGGAGCAAUACCGCGUGAGGGAUGAAGGCCUGUGGGUUGUAAACCUCUUUUCUCAAGGAAGAAAUUUUGACGGUACUUGAGGAAUAAGCAUCGGCUAACUCUGUGCCAGCAGCCGCGGUAAUACAGAGGAUGCAAGCGUUAUCCGGAAUCACUGGGCAUAAAGCGUCUGUAGGUUGCUUGCCAAGUCUGCUGUUAAAGACUAGGGCCUAACCCUGGGAAAGCAGUGGAAACUAGCAAGCUUGAGUGUGGUAGAGGUAGAGGGAAUUCCUGGUGUAGCGGUGAAAUGCGUAGAUAUUAGGAAGAACACCAAUGGCGAAAGCACUCUGCUGGGCCACAACUGACACUGAGAGACGACAGCUA
rnacentral:rRNA from 1 species